CUGCGUGUCGACGCGGCCGCGUUGCGCGGGUUGGCGGCCCGCGAUCUGGCCGACCUGGCGGACGGGGUGUCGCCGGCUCCCGCGCUGGC
rnacentral:tRNA from 1 species